GACGAACGCUGGCGGCGUGCUUAACACAUGCAAGUCGAACGGAAAGGCUCCAGCUUGCUGGAGUACUCGAGUGGCGAACGGGUGAGUAACACGUGGGUAAUCUGCCCUGCACUCUGGGAUAAGCCUGGGAAACUGGGUCUAAUACUGGAUAUGACCUUUCUCCUUAUGGGGUUUGGUGGAAAGUUUUUCGGUGUAGGAUGAGCCCGCGGCCUAUCAGCUUGUUGGUGGGGUGAUGGCUUACCAAGGCGACGACGGGUAGCCGGCCUGAGAGGGUGAUCGGCCACAUUGGGACUGAGAUACGGCCCAGACUCCUACGGGAGGCAGCAGUGGGGAAUAUUGCACAAUGGGCGGAAGCCUGAUGCAGCGACGCCGCGUGAGGGAUGACGGCCUUCGGGUUGUAAACCUCUUUCAGCAGGGACGAAGCGUAAGUGACGGUACCUGCAGAAGAAGCACCGGCUAACUAUGU
rnacentral:rRNA from 1 species